rnacentral:rRNA from 2 species
AAAGACUUGACGGUACUUCACAACACCCUAGAGGAGCCUGUCCAAUAACCGAUACCCCACGAUUAAACCCCACCUGCCCUAGCCCCACAGUCUAUAUACCGCCGUCACCAGCUCACCUUGUGAAAGAAAUAAAGUGAGCAAAACAAACCACUCUCUAACACGACAGGUCGAGGUGUAACUAAUGGGCAGGCAAAAGAUGGGCUACAUUAUCUAACACAGAUAACACGAACCAAACCAUGAAACACAAAGCUGAAGGCGGAUUUAGCAGUAAGAUAAAAAUAAAACGCUUAACUGAAACCAACGCAAUGAAGUAUGUACACACCGCCCGUCAUCCCUG